rnacentral:rRNA from 1 species
AUUGGGUAGGGGAGCGUUCUGUAAGCCGUUGAAGGUGAAUCGUAAGGUUUGCUGGAGGUAUCAGAAGUGCGAAUGCUGACAUGAGUAACGACAAAGGGGGUGAAAAACCUCCUCGCCGGAAGACCAAGGGUUCCUGUCCAACGUUAAUCGGGGCAGGGUGAGUCGACCCCUAAGGUGAGGCCGAAAGGCGUAAUCGAUGGGAAACGGGUUAAUAUUCCCGUACUUCUGACUAUUGCGAUGGGGGGACGGAGAAGGCUAGGUGGGCCAGGCGACGGUUGUCCUGGUUCAAGUGCGUAGGCUUGAGAGUUAGGUAAAUCCGGCUCUCUUUAAGGCUGAGACACGACGUCGAGCUACUACGGUAGUGAAGUCAUUGAUGCCAUGCUUCCAGGAAAAGCCUCUAAGCUUCAGAUAGUCAGGAAUCGUACCCCAAACCGACACAGGUGGUCGGGUAGAGAAUACCAAGGCGCUUGAGAGAACUCGGGUGAAGGAACUAGGCAAAAUGGUACCGUAACUUCGGGAGAAGGUACGCUCUUGAUGGUGAAGUCCCUCGCGGAUGGAGCUGACGAGAGUCGCAGAUACCAGGUGGCUGCAACUGUUUAUUAAAAACACAGCACUGUGCAAAAUCGCAAGAUGACGUAUACGGUGUGACGCCUGCCCGGUGCCGGAAGGUUAAUUGAUGGGGUUAGCGCAAGCGAAGCUCUUGAUCGAAGCCCCGGUAAACGGCGGCCGUAACUAUAACGGUCCUAAGGUAGCGAAAUUCCUUGUCGGGUAAGUUCCGACCUGCACGAAUGGCGUAAUGAUGGCCACGCUGUCUCCACCCGAGACUCAGUGAAAUUGAAAUCGCUGUGAAGAUGCAGUGUACCCGCGGCUAGACGGAAAGACCCCGUGAACCUUUACUACAGCUUGGCACUGAACAUUGAACCUACAUGUGUAGGAUAGGUGGGAGGCUAUGAAGACGUGACGCCAGUUGCGUUGGAGCCGUCCUUGAAAUACCACCCUUGUAUGUUUGAUGUUCUAACUUAGACCCAUUAUCUGGGUUGAGGACAGUGCCUGGUGGGUAGUUUGACUGGGGCGGUCUCCUCCCAAAGAGUAACGGAGGAGCACGAAGGUGGGCUAAUCACGGUUGGACAUCGUGAGGUUAGUGCAAUGGCAUAAGCCCGCUUAACUGCGAGAAUGACGGUUCGAGCAGGUGCGAAAGCAGGUCAUAGUGAUCCGGUGGUUCUGUAUGGAAGGGCCAUCGCUCAACGGAUAAAAGGUACUCCGGGGAUAACAGGCUGAUACCGCCCAAGAGUUCAUAUCGACGGCGGUGUUUGGCACCUCGAUGUCGGCUCAUCACAUCCUGGGGCUGAAGUCGGUCCCAAGGGUAUGGCUGUUCGCCAUUUAAAGUGGUACGCGAGCUGGGUUUAGAACGUCGUGAGACAGUUCGGUCCCUAUCUGCCGUGGGCGUUGGAAGAUUGAAGGGGGCUGCUCCUAGUACGAGAGGACCGGAGUGGACGAACCUCUGGUGUUCGGGUUGUGUCGCCAGACGCAUUGCCCGGUAGCUAAGUUCGGAAUUGAUAAGCGCUGAAAGCAUCUAAGCGCGAAGCGAGCCCUGAGAUGAGUCUUCCCUGAUACUUUAAGUAUCCUAAAGGGUUGUUCGAGACUAGAACGUUGAUAGGCAGGGUGUGUAAGCGUUGUGAGGCGUUGAGCUAACCUGUACUAAUUGCCCGUGAGGCUUAACCAUACAACACCCAAGGGGUUUUGUA